UUUGACGUUAGCGACAGAAGAAGCACCGGCUAACUCCGUGCCAGCAGCCGCGGUAAUACGGAGGGUGCGAGCGUUAAUCGGAAUUACUGGGCGUAAAGCGCAUGCAGGUGGUUUGUUAAGUCAGAUGUGAAAGCCCGGGGCUCAACCUCGGAAUUGCAUUUGAAACUGGCAGACUAGAGUACUGUAGAGGGGGGUAGAAUUUCAGGUGUAGCGGUGAAAUGCGUAGAGAUCUGAAGGAAUACCGGUGGCGAAGGCGGCCCCCUGGACAGAUACUGACACUCAGAUGCGAAAGCGUGGGGAGCAAACAGGAUUAGAUACCCUGGUAGUCCACGCCGUAAACGAUGUCUACUUGGAGGUUGUGGCCUUGAGCCGUGGCUUUCGGAGCUAACGCGUUAAGUAGACCGCCUGGGGAGUACGGUCGCAAGAUUAAAACUCAAAUGAAUUGACGGGGGCCCGCACAAGCGGUGGAGCAUGUGGUUUAAUUCGAUGCAACGCGAAGAACCUUACCUACUCUUGACAUCCAGAGAACUUUCCAGAGAUGGAUUGGUGCCUUCGGGAACUCUGAGACAGGUGCUGCAUGGCUGUCGUCAGCUCGUGUUGUGAAAUGUUGGGUUAAGUCCCGCAACGAGCGCAACCCUUAUCCUUGUUUGCCAGCGAGUAAUGUCGGGAACUCCAGGGAGACUGCCGGUGAUAAACCGGAGGAAGGUGGGGACGACGUCAAGUCAUCAUGGCCCUUACGAGUAGGGCUACACACGUGCUACAAUGGCGCAUACAGAGGGCGGCCAACUUGCGAAAGUGAGCGAAUCCCAAAAAGUGCGUCGUAGUCCGGAUUGGAGUCUGCAACUCGACUCCAUGAAGUCGGAAUCGCUAGUAAUCGUGGAUCAGAAUGCCACGGUGAAUACGUUCCCGGGCCUUGUACACACCGCCCGUCACACCAUGGGAGUGGGCUGCAAAAGAAGUAGGUAGUUUAACCUUCGGGGGGACGCUUACCACUUUGUGGUUCAUGACUGGGGUGAAGUCGUAACAAGGUAGCGCUAGGGGAACCUGGCGCUGGAUCACCUCCUUAAACGAUGAU
rnacentral:rRNA from 1 species